GUGACUUAUUGUCCAGCUCUGACACCUCACUGCUGUGGAGUAUGUGCUCCAGUAAAUGAUGAUGUGCUUCAUGGGAAAUCAAGGCCGCAGUGUUAUUCCUCUUCAUCCCGUGCAUCAUUGGCGUCUUAUUGUGUUCCCGGAGCUCAGUAAGUGAUUAACAAGCAUCAGUAAGCGAUGCUGAAUACAAUGCUUUCCUGCUUUGAAAUUAAAAUGCCGAGUGGACUUAAUGCCGAGUGGACGAGUGAACACAUCACACCUGGGGUGUGCUUAUUUAUGCACACAAGAGUUCUAGGUUCAUCAUAAGCUGUAAUUCUGAAUGAUAGAUUUUUAUUUUAUAUAUUUUCAUCUUUCAUAUUUGUAAACAUUAUCCCGUAUCAUAUCGUGUCAUGCUGUUGUGUAGCUUGCUGUAUAGUGUCAUGUUAUUGUGUAGCUGCUAUAUUUUGUAAUGUUGUUGCUGUAUAGUGUCAUGUUGCUGUAUCGUGUGCUGUAUAGUGUCAUGUUGUUGCUCUAGUGUCAUGUUGUGUAGCUGCUGUAUCGUGUCAUGUUGUUGUGUAGCUGCUGUAUCAUGUCAACUUGUUACUGUAUAGUGUCAUGUUGUUGCUAUAUUGUGUCAUGUAUAGUGUCAUGUAGCUGCUUUAUUGCGUCAUGUUGCUGCUGUAUAGUGUCAUGUAUAGUGUCAUGUUGCUGUAUCGUGUCAUGUUGUUGUGUAGCUGCUGUAUUGUGUUGUUGUGUAACUGCUGUAUAGUGUCAUGUUGUUGUGUAGCUGCUUGUAUUGUGUCAUGUUGCUGUAUUGUGUCAUGUUGUUGAUGUAUUGUGUCAUGUUGUUGCUGUAUAGUGUCAUGUAUAGUGUCAUUUUGCUGUAUCGUGUCAUGUUGUGUAGCUGCUGUACUGUGUCAUGUUGUUGCUGUAUCGUGUCAUGUAUAGUGUCAUGUAGCUGCUUUAUUGUGUCAUGUUGCUGUAUAGUGUCGUGUUGCUGUAUAGUGUCAUGUUGCUGUAUAGUGUCAUGUAUAGUGUCAUGUUGUUGCUGUAUCAUGUCAUGUUGUGUAGCUGCUGUAUCGUGUCAUGUUGGUGUGUAGCUGCUGUAUCGUGUCAUGUUGCUGUAUAGUGUCAUGUUGUUGCUGUAUCAUGUCAUGUUGUUGUAUAGCUGCUGUAUAGUGUCAUGUUGUUGCUGUAUAGUGUCAAGUUGCUGUAUCAUAUCAUGCUGUUGUUGUAUAGUGUCAUGUUGUUGCUGUAUAGUGUCAUGUAUAGUGUCAUGUGUUGCUGUAUAGUGUCCUGUUGUUGCUGCAUCGUGUCAUGUUGUUGCUGUAUAGUGUCAUGUUGUUGUAUCGUGUCAUGUUGUUGCUGUAUAGUGUCAUGUUGUUGCUGUAUAGUGUCAUGUUAUUGCUGCAUUGUGUCCUGUUGUUGCUGCAUCUUGUCAUGUUGUUGCUGCAUCGUGUCAUGUUGUUGUGUAGCUGCUGUAUCGUGUCAUGUUGUUUGUCAUGUUGCUGUAUCGUGUCAUGUUGUUGUGUACCUGAUGUAUUGUGUCAUGUUGUUGCUGUAUCGUGUCAUGUUGUUGUGUAGCUGCUGUAUCGUGUCAUGUUCCUGUAUAGUGUCAUGUUGUUGUGUAGCUGCUGUAUCGUGUCAUGUUGCUGUAUCAUGUCAUGUUGUUGCUCUAUAGUGUGAUGUUGUUAUGUAGCUGCUGUAUCAUGUCAUGUUGCUGUAUCGUGUCAUGUUGUUGUUCUAUAGUGUGAUGUUGUUAUGUAGCUGCUGUAUAGUGUCAUGUUGUUGUGUAGCUGCUGUAUCGUGUCAUGUUGUUGUGUAGCUGCUGUAUCGUGUCAUGUUGUUGUGUAGCUGCUGUAUCACAGACUCAGAUUUCUUCAGUGAACAAACAGAACUGUAAUUCACUCUGAGCAUGAACAUCGCUUAAAUGACUUGAAAAAUCUGUCUGGCAGGCAGAGGUUUGACACAAGCCUCAUAAAAGCCAAGGCGGCGUUAAUUAACAUCCAAAUCUGCAAGUGAAAUCUUUCAAAUUCCUCAUCGAGAAAGAGAAACACAAACGGAAACGCAAAAUUAAUUUCCACAAAUAGGCACUGCGCUGGACAAGGUUAUGAAACUUCAGCG
ensembl:lncRNA